UACAGAGGUGCCAAGCGUUAGGCGGAAUCACUGGCUUAAAGCGCGUGUAGGUGGACGGGUAAGUAUCUUGUGAAAUCCCACGGCUCAACCGUGGAACUGCUGGAUAUACUGCUUGUCUUGAGGCACUUAGGGGCGACUGGAACAAAUGGUGGAGCGGUGAAAUGCGUAGAUAUCAUUUGGAACGCCAAAGGCGAAAGCAGGCUGCUGGGAGUGAUCUGACACUGAGACGCGAAAGCCAGGGGAGCAAACGGG
rnacentral:rRNA from 1 species